rnacentral:lncRNA from 1 species
UGGCUUUUUUUUUUUUUUUUUUUUUUUGAAGGUGACAACUGAACAAAGUCAUGAAAAAGUAAGCGAAAGAGCUAUGCAGGUAUGUGAGGAAAAUAUUCUAGGUAGAGGGAAAAGCCAACACAAAGGCUAUUAAUAAAUUGCUGGUGCUUUCCAGCAAAAGCAAUUGGUCAUUGUGGAAGAAACAGAGUGAACAAGGGAGAAAGGUAUGGGAAAUAACAUGAAGGGGGAAAAGAGCCAGAUCAUGUAGGGCCUCCAGGACAUGGUGAGUGCUUUGGCUUUUACACCGAGUGAAAUAGGGAGCUACAAUAGGGGUUUGAGCAGAUGAGUGACAUAAUCUGAUUUACACUUAAAAAAAUUCUGGUGGCUAGAUUAAAAAUAACUGUGGGCAGGAGCAGGGAGAUGAAUUAGUCUAUUGCAGGAGGUGACAGUAGCUUUAACCAAAGUGGUGAUAGUGGACGCUCCAGGCAAAUAGGGUGUCAAAAGCCGAGGUGCAGAGAUGGAAAGUUCAGUUCAAGGCCGGUAUCAGAACUGUGAGCAAACCAGUUGUCUUUCUAACGGGGGAAGGAAAAUGACAGCUGCCAUUUAUUGAACAUUCACUAUGUGGCAAGCAUUGUGCUAAAUUUGAUACUCCGGCGACCUCUUUUAGUCUCCAUGACAACCCUGUAAAGACAUUUAGAAUUUAGAACCUUUCAUACAGUUCCAUGACUAAAACGUAGCACACCUGGCAUUCCAACCCUUCAUUUCAUUCUACUCUAGCACUAAAGCUAGAAGGGAAGCUUGAGGCCACAUUGUGGAGUGCCAAGAGGUUUGAACUUUUGCCUGGUUUGAACUUUUACCUUCUUAAUCUUUUCCCCGCAUCCCCACAUUUGAGGACAGGACACCUCCAGGAACUGCAGCUCAGCAACAGGGGUUCAGCGUGAGCGCGGCCUGGGGAGGGUCAUCGCCUUUUUGGGGAGUGUGGGGAGAAACGCGGCUCGCCUUGUCGUGGCUGGCGAUACGCCUCUGCAGGAAGGGUGUGUCUCCCCGCUUGAGGAUUCUCCCUAUAGAUAAAGAGGAGACUCAGCAGAGCCUUAAUUAGAGAUCACAGAGGACUGACAACGAGCGUCCGGAAGACGAAUUGGCAGCGAGGUGCAUGGAUUCGAUACAGAAGCUGGAGAUAGAGUCCAGCUAACAGACCACUGCAGUUCGACGGAGCCAGAGUGAGGCAACGAGGAGAGAUGUCGGGGAAGGAAAGGGGAUGGGACUUGGGGACUGGAGCGGCUCGAGAGCGACGGAGAAGGGGGCGUUAGGCUCUAAGGAUUCUCUUACUGUGCCUCCUCCCCGUGUCCUCGGGUGGCGGCUGCGCAGCCCUCCAGCCCUCAGAGCUGCCCUGCAGCACCUUGGCCACUAGGAGGCAGGCCCGCCUUAUCUGGAGCCCCGGCCGCCGCUCACUCCAGGGAGGGCUGCGCUGCUGCUUAAAUUCCAAGUCAGGCCAGCCCCUGGAACGCUUAAUGGGAGCUUAGAUUUAGAACAGUUGAUUUUCAUUGAGACGGAAAUUUGGACAGUCUCCCACUUGAUUGAAAACGGCUAGAAACAAGGCUUACGGUAGAGCAAUGAAUGCCAGAGUGCAGGCGCCGGUGCCCAGGCGGCCCGGGGAACAGGAGGGCCGGAGGAGGAAACAGCUGCCUGCAAAACACCAGCAGCGCCCUUAAUUAACACCAGUGCUGGCCAGGGGGAUUGUGCUUCCGGAAAUUCCCAACGUCCUUUCCCUGCUUGCCCAGGGCCAUUCCAUUAUACAGUUUCAGACCAGUCCCAGGUCUGAAAUGGAAAGAGAUGUUACCCUAGAUGCCCGGAGACAGCGGGGCCGCAGAGACCUCGCACAGCCGAAUAGCAGUGGAGCAGAGCACAUCUGCUGGUGGGUUCAACAAAAGGGGCUCCCUUUAAAGAAGAAGACUGAGAAGCUGGAAUGAAUCCAGAGGAAAGGAUGAAAAGCACUCGUUUGAUUACUGAGAGGAUAGCUGGAGAAGUGAAGAAUAAUGUGAUGUUCAGCUCAAAC